rnacentral:rRNA from 1 species
UUUGGCUCGGGGGUCGAUGAAGAACGGAGCUAACUCUGUGAUGCCGUGUGAACUGCAGGACACAUGAACAUCGACACUUUGAACGCAUAUUGCGGAAAUAAGCUUGUCUUGUUUCCAUAUCUGACUCAGGGUCGGUUAAACAUCCRUCAGACAGCUUGCUGUUUGCAUUGGGCUGCCGCUAUGCCUCGGCACAGCGUCGCUCCAAGGUACGCCGUACGGAGUUCACAGACUCGACUCUUGGGAACUUGUGUCCUGGGUUGCUGACGUGGCCGUAUGCGCUUGGUGCCGGGACUAGACUGACUGUCUCGUAAGCGCCUCCRAACUUUACUUUCGACCUGAGAUUAGAUAAGAUUACCCGCCGAAUUUAAGCAUAUUAAUAAGCGGAGGAAAAGAAAACAACUGUGAUUCCCUUAGUAAUGGCGAAUGAA